AUAGUAGGAACCUACCAUGUCCAGUCCAGCCCCCCCAGCACUCGUCGCCCCUAGCCAGCAGGAAGUAGCUACGGAAGAGAGGACCGUCGCCCCAUCCCAUUUAAAAAAGGCUGGAAUGAUAGGUUCCCAGGAAGAUGGAGACAGGACUCUCCCCUCCGCCCCAAUGUGACUGUUCACCUUGGAGACCUGUGGACGGCGCCUACAGAAUUGGCUUGAUCCAUAGAAACCAAAUGAACGCCCUGCAAUCAAAAUUUACUAUGGCUGUUCUUAUACAACAAAUAAGUGAAAAUGGGAGGAGAUGUUGGAAACCACUGAACUGCUGAAUUCUGC
rnacentral:lncRNA from 1 species